GAUGAAGAACGCAGCGAAAUGCGAUAAGUAAUGUGAAUUGCAGAAUUCAGUGAAUCAUCGAAUCUUUGAACGCACAUUGCGCCCGCCAACAUUCUGGCGGGCAUGCCUGUUCGAGCGUCAUUUCAACCCUCGAGCCCCCCCGGGGGCCUCGGUGUUGGGGGACGGCACACCAGCCGCCCCCGAAAUGCAGUGGCGACCCCGCCGCAGCCUCCCCUGCGUAGUAGCACACACCUCGCACCGGAGCGCGGAGGCGGUCACGCCGUAAAACGCCCAACUUUCUUAGAGUUGACCUCGGAUCAGGUAGGAAUACCCGCUGAACUUAAGCAUAUCAAUAAGCGGAGGA
rnacentral:misc_RNA from 1 species